rnacentral:rRNA from 1 species
GACGAACGCUGGCGGCGUGCUUAACACAUGCAAGUCGAACGGAAAGGCCUCUUUCGGGGGGUACUCGAGUGGCGAACGGGUGAGUAACACGUGAGUAACCUGCCCUUGACUUUGGGAUAACUUCAGGAAACUGGGGCUAAUACCGGAUAGGAGCUCCUGCUGCAUGGUGGGGGUUGGAAAGUUUCGGCGGUUGGGGAUGGACUCGCGGCUUAUCAGCUUGUUGGUGGGGUAGUGGCUUACCAAGGCUUGACGGGUAGCCGGCCUGAGAGGGUGACCGGCCACAUUGGGACUGAGAUACGGCCCAGACUCCUACGGGAGGCAGCAGUGGGGAAUAUUGCACAAUGGGUGGAAGCCUGAUGCAGCAACGCCGUGUGCGGGAUGACGGCCUUCGGGUUGUAAACCGCUUUCGCUCGUGACGAAGCUUUGUGUGACGGUAGUGGGUAAAGAAGCACCGGCUAACUACGUG